rnacentral:rRNA from 1 species
AUCUAUCCAUGGCCAGGAUGAAGGUGCGUAACACGCACUGGAGGUCCGAACCCACUAAUGUGAAAAAUUAGGGGAUGAGCUGUGGAUAGGGGUGAAAAGGCUAAACAAACUUGGAAAUAGCUGGUUCUCUACCGAAAACUAUUUAGGUAGUGCCUCAAGUAUCACCGACGGGGGUAAAGCACUGUUAUGGCUAGGGGGUCAUCGCGACUUACCAAACCAUUGCAAACUCAGAAUACCGUUGAGUGCGAGCUUGGGAGACAGACAUCGGGGUGCUAACGUCCGGUGUCAAGAGGGAAACAACCCAGACCGCCGAUUAAGGUCCCGAAGACAUAGUUAAGUGGGAAACGAGGUGGGAAGGCUUAGACAGCCAGGAGGUUGGCUUAGAAGCAGCCAUCCUUUAAAGAAAGCGUAAUAGCUCACUGGUCGAGUCGUCCUGCGCGGAAGAUGUAACGGG